AUGAACGCUGGCGGCGUGCCUAAUACAUGCAAGUAGAACGCUGAAGGAAGGAGCUUGCUCUUUCCGGAUGAGUUGCGAACGGGUGAGUAACGCGUAGGUAACCUGCCUGGUAGCGGGGGAUAACUAUUGGAAACGAUAGCUAAUACCGCAUAACAGUAGAUGUUGCAUGAUAUCUACUUAAAAGGUGCAAUUGCACCACUACCAGAUGGACCUGCGUUGUAUUAGCUAGUUGGUGAGGUAACGGCUCACCAAGGCGACGAUACAUAGCCGACCUGAGAGGGUGAUCGGCCACACUGGGACUGAGACACGGCCCAGACUCCUACGGGAGGCAGCAGUAGGGAAUCUUCGGCAAUAGACGGAAGUCUGACCGAGCAACGCCGCGUGAGUGAAGAAGGUUUUCGGAUCGUAAAGCUCUGUUGUAAGAGAAGAACGAGUGUGAGAGUGGAAAGUUCACACUGUGACGGUAUCUUACCAGAAAGGGACGGCUAACUACGUG
rnacentral:rRNA from 1 species